GCAAGCACUCAUAUUUGAGUCCAUUGGCCCUCCUCCCAUCAGUGUCCAUCUCCGGAUAGGUGCCUCCAAAUAAUAGAGUAAAUAUAACAGCUCUAUGAGUGCAUAGUCCAAUAAUAGCUCGCUUACUUGGGGUAUUUAUAUGAGUAAGUGCUGACCCACCACUUGCAUGAAGUGACAUCUGCUAUAUGAGGUGGUGAGCAUAUUUGAUCCCCUAUUGGUAUAUUUUAAGUAAUCUUCCAUUCUUGUUUUCUGUUAAUCGUCGUUUUCAU
rnacentral:misc_RNA from 1 species